rnacentral:rRNA from 1 species
GAGUUUGAUCAUGGCUCAGGAUGAAUGCUGGCGGCGUGCCUAACACAUGCAAGUCGAGCGGCAGCGCGAGUAGUUUACUACUUGGCGGCGAGCGGCGGACGGCUGAGUAACGCGUGGGAAUUUGCCCCAAAGUGAGGGAUAACUGCCCGAAAGGGUAGCUAAUACCGCAUAUGGUCUUCGGAUUAAAGGAUUUAUCCGCUUUGGGAGAAGCCCGCGUUGGAUUAGGUUGUUGGUAGGGUAAUGGCCUACCAAGCCGACGAUCCAUAGCUGGUCUGAGAGGAUGAUCAGCCAGACUGGAACUGAGACACGGUCCAGACUCCUACGGGAGGCAGCAGUGAGGAAUCUUCCACAAUGGGCGAAAGCCUGAUGGAGCAACGCCGCGUGAAGGAUGAAGGCCUUCGGGUUGUAAACUUCUUUUAUGAGUGAAGAAUAU